CAUGCAAGUCGAGCGGAAACGAGUUAUCUGAACCUUCGGGGAACGAUAACGGCGUCGAGCGGCGGACGGGUGAGUAAUGCCUAGGAAAUUGCCCUGAUGUGGGGGAUAACCAUUGGAAACGAUGGCUAAUACCGCAUAACGCCUACGGGCCAAAGAGGGGGACCUUCGGGCCUCUCGCGUCAGGAUAUGCCUAGGUGGGAUUAGCUAGUUGGUGAGGUAAGGGCUCACCAAGGCGACGAUCCCUAGCUGGUCUGAGAGGAUGAUCAGCCACACUGGAACUGAGACACGGUCCAGACUCCUACGGGAGGCAGCAGUGGGGAAUAUUGCACAAUGGGCGCAAGCCUGAUGCAGCCAUGCCGCGUGUGUGAAGAAGGCCUUCGGGUUGUAAAGCACUUUCAGUCGUGAGGAAGGUAGUGUAGUUAAUAGCUGCAUUGUUUGACGUUAGCGACAGAAGAAGCACCGGCUAACUCCGUGCCAGCAGCCGCGGUAAUACGGAGGGUGCGAGCGUUAAUCGGAAUUACUGGGCGUAAAGCGCAUGCAGGUGGUUUGUUAAGUCAGAUGUGAAAGCCCGGGGCUCAACCUCGGAAUUGCAUUUGAAAC
rnacentral:rRNA from 1 species